rnacentral:rRNA from 1 species
UACGAAGGGUGCAAGCGUUAUCCGGAUUCACUGGGUUUAAAGGGUGCGUAGGUGGUUUUGUAAGUCAGUGGUGAAAGCCCGGAGCUCAACUCCGGAACUGCCAUUGAUACUGCUUAACUUGAACCAACUUGAGGUGGAUGGAAUAUUACAUGUAGCGGUGAAAUGCUUAGAUAUGUAAUAGAACACCGAUUGCGAAGGCAGUUCACUAAGGUUGUAUUGACACUGAGGCACGAAAGCGUGGGGAUCAAACAGG